CUGUUGUCUGUGUGGGGUGCUGAGGGACCCCAGGGGCAGUGGGGACUCCCGGUGGGGGCUGCAGUGGGGCGGGAGGACCUGGACAUGGCACUGAGGGGCCACCCUGCAGGAAGAUGAAUAAGGGCUGGCUGGAGCUGAAGAGCGACCCCGGCCUCUUCACCCUGCUGGUGGAAGAUUUUGGUGUCAAAUGGGUGCAAGUGGAGAUCUAUGACCUUCAGAGCAAAUGCCAGGGCCCCGUAUAUGGAUUUAUCUUCCUGUUCAAAUGGAUCGAAGAGCACCGGUCACGGGGAAAGGUCUCUACCUUCGUGGAUGAUACAUCCAUGAUUGAUGACAAUAUUGUGAAUAACAUGUUCUUUGCCCACCAGCUGAUACCCAACUCUUGUGCCACUCAUGCCUUGCUGAAUAUGCUCCUGAACUGCAGCAACGUGGACCUGGGACCUACCCUGAGUCACAUGAAGGACUUCACCAAAGGCUUCAGCCCUGAGAGCAAAGUAUAUGCGACUGGCAAUGCCCCAGAGUUGGCCAAGGCACAUAACAGCCAUGCCAUGCCCGAGCCGCGCCACCUCCCUGAAAAGCAGAAUGGCCUUAGUGCAGUGCGGACCAUGGAGGCGUUCCACUUCAUCAGCUAUGUGCCUAUCACAGGCUGGCUCUCUGAGCUGGAUGGGCUGCUACCCCAUUGACCAUGGGUCCUGAGGAGAGGAUGAGGAAUGCACAGACAAGGCCUGGCGGGUUACCAUAGAGCAUAUCGGCCUUGCCACUGCCAGAGAGCCCUACCACAACAUCCGCUUCACCCUGAUGGCAGUGGUGCCUGACUGCAGGAUCAAGUAUGAGGCCAGUGUGCACGUGCUGAAAGUGAACUGUCAGACAGUACUAGAGGCUCUGCAGCAGCUGAUAAGAGUAACACAGCCAGAGCUGAUUCAGAUCCACAAGUCUCAAGAGUCAUAGCUGCCUGAGGAGUCCAAGCCAGCCAGCAACAAGUCCCCGCGGGUGCUGGAGGCAAACAGGGCCCCUGCAGCCUCUGAGGGCACCCACACAGAUGGUGCAGAGGAGGGGGCUGGUUCAUGCACACAAGCCCCAACCCACAGCCCUCCCAGCAAACCCAAGCUGGUGGUGGAGCCUCCAGGCAGCAGCCUCAAUGGGGUUCUCCCCAACCCCAUUCCCAUUGUCCAGCAACUACCGGCCUUUCUAGACAAUCACACUAUGCCAAGUCCCCCAUGCGGGAGGAAGAAGACCUGGCGGCAGGUGUGGUCUGCAGCCGAGCUCCAGUCCACCCACCCUAGUAAUACUCAGAUGAUGAGGACGACUAUGAGGGUGAUGGGGAGGAUGACAUGCAGAACACCAACUCUGCCAUUAGGUAUAAGCAGAAGGGAACAGGGAAGCCAUGGGCAUUGGGUGGUUCUGCUGAUGGGCAGCUGUCAGCUGAGAAGCUCAAGGAGUCCCAGAAGGACCACUGAAUUCCUCUGUCCAUCAAGACUAGCAGCGGGGCUGGGAGUCCAGCGGUGACAGUGCCCACACACUCGCAGCCCCCGCUCACCCCCAGCAACGAGAGUACAGAUACGGCCUCCAGAUUGGCAGUGCUUUCAACUUGCCACAGCGCUCGCCCAUUCACUCAGCCAACCCGACACAGCCCUCUAGCCCUGUCACCUCCCACAUCUCGAAAGUGCUUUUUGGAGAAGAUGACAGCCUGCUGCGUAUUGACUGCAUCCGCUGCAACAGUGCUGUCCGUGAUCUGGGUCCUGUCAUCAGCACAGGCCUGCUGCACCCGGCUGAGGGUGGGGUGCUGAGUCCCCUGGUGCUGACAGAGGUUGGGAAGGGUUCCUCACCCUCCAUCAGACCGAUCCAAGGCAGCCAGGGGUCCAGCAGCCCAGUGGAGAAGGAGGUCAUGGAAGCCACAGAUGGCAGAGAGAAGACGGGACUGGUGAGGCCUGGCAAGCCCUUGAGUGGCAAGAAGUACUCACCCAAGGAGCUGCUGCCACUGCUGAAGUGUGUGGAGGCUGAGAUUGCAAACUAUGAGGCAUGUCUCAAGGAAGAGGUGGAGAAGAGGAAGAAGUUCAAGAUUGAUGACCAGAGAAAGACCCACAACUACGAUGAGUCCAUCUGUACCUUCAUCUCCAUGCUGGUUCAGGAAGGCAUGCUGGCCGACCUAGUGGAGCAGAAUAUCUCUGUGCGGUGGCGCCAAGGGGUCAGCAUUCCAUAAGCAGCGGAAGCCUGACCGGCAGAAACGCUCUCACCCCUGCAAGGCCAAGCGCCAGUGA